AAAAACAAGAUGACACUGCUACACAAUUAUCGCCGGAUAACUGUACGAAUCCGGAUUCCCGAAAGUGUCUAUUUCGACAUCGGAACCCACUAUCGCUCACCCGUCAUCACCGAACCCCCAUUGUGAUGAUGGUGACCAGCCAACAAGGCUUAGCGACUACUCACAGAGCGACCAAACGACGUCGGAAGAAAUCCGAGCCGAAACCGCGUUCUUUCGGCGAAUUUCACCGCAAAACGCACCGAAAUCGACUCCUCGAUUUCCGCAA
rnacentral:lncRNA from 1 species